UGAUGACGAGACGCUAAGGCGUUGAAGCAGUGUAUGUCAGACUUCCAAGAAAAGCUCGCAAUGUCACAAAUAAAAGAUGCCUGUACCAUAACCGACACAGGUGGGUAGGUAGAGUAUACUAAGGGGCGCGAGAUAACUCUCUCUAAGGAACUCGGCAAAAUGACUCCGUAACUUCGGGAGAAGGAGUGCCUUAUUUAUAAGGUUGCAAUAACAAGAUCCAAGCAACUGUUUAUCAAAAACACAGGUCUCCGCUAAGUCGUAAGACGAUGUAUGGGGGCUGACGCCUGCCCAGUGCCAGAAGGUUAAAGAAGUUGGUUAGUGUAUGCGAGGCUGAUGACUGAAGCCCUGGUGAACGGCGGCCGUAACGAUAACGGUCCUAAGGUAGCGAAAUUCCUUGUCGGGUAAGUUCCGACCCGCACGAGAGGCGUAAUGAUUUGGAUACUGUCUCGGAGAGAGGCUCGGUGAAAUAGACUUGUCUGUGAAGAUGCGGACUACCUGCACCAGGACAGAAAGACCCUAUGAAGCUUUACUGUAACUUGAAAUUGGAAUUGGACUUUGCUUGCGCAGUAUAGGUGGGAAGCGUUGAAAAUAUUCUUGCGGGAGUAUUGGAGCUAUCAGUGAGAUACCACUCUUGUAAUGUUAGAUUUCUAACUUUGAACCAUAAUCUGGUCAAAGAACAGUUUCAGGUGGGCAGUUUGACUGGGGCGGUCGCCUCCCAAAUGGUAACGGAGGCGUACAAAGGUUUCCUCUGAACGGAUAGAAAUCGUAUCUAGAGUGUAAAGGCAUAAGGAAGCUUGACUGUGAGACCUACAAGUCGAGCAGGGACGAAAGUCGGUCUUAGUGAUCUGACGGUACUGAGUGGAAAGGCCGUCACUCAACGGAUAAAAGUUACUCUAAGGAUAACAGGCUGAUCUCCCCCAAGAGUUCACAUCGACGGGGAGGUUUGGCACCUCGAUGUCGGCUCAUCGCAUCCUGGGGCGGUAGUACGUCCCAAGGGUUGGGCUGUUCGCCCAUGAAAGCGGUACGCGAGCUGGGUUCAGAACGUCGUGAGACAGUUCGGUCCAUAUCCGGUGUAGGCGCUAGAAUAUUGAGAGGAGCCUUCUUUAGUACGAGAGGACCGAGAAGGACACACCGCUGGUGUACCAGUUAUCGUGCCAACGGUAAACGCUGGGUAGCUAUGUGUGGAGUGGAUAACCGCUGAAAGCAUCUAAGUGGGAAGCCCACCUCGAGAUGAGUA
rnacentral:rRNA from 1 species